AUCUUUUUGAAGUUCAUAAGCCUGAUAAUUGGUUUCCAUGCAUUUUUGUGAGUUGUGCUUCCCUUAAAUCUUGUUACAAUGUUGGCACAUUACCAUCUGAUG